rnacentral:lncRNA from 1 species
AGAUGCAACAACUUUAAGAAUAUCUAAAGGAAUAUGAAUAAAUUUAACUAAAGCAUUACGUGCAUUAGCCACCUCUGCAAUAUGAUUAUCAACAUAAUCUUCAACAUCAACAGAAUUAGAUGUUCUCAUUGCCUUAAGACGAGGAUAACAAACUUCAAAAUCGGUUAUGGCAGUUGUAUAGUAUUUAAUCGCGUCGUUAAAUGCGCCAUUAACGGUAGAAUCAACAGCGUCAUCAAUUAACUCUAUCGCGGGUAUGAAAUGAUCGUUGCAAUCGCUUAAAGCUUGUUGUGUAUCGGACGAUAAUUGUGCGCUAUUAUCCAAAAGUUUCAAUCUCACUGUGAUUGACACAUUUGUAGCCUCUUGUUCGAUUUUUUUGAGUGCUAAAAAUGCUAUUGUUUUUAAAUCGGCUUUUUGAAGAGAAUCGAGGUCUGAUUUAGAUCUA